GGCCUGGAAGAUUGCCGUAAAAACGUGGAGAAUUUAGAAAGAAAUAUCGAGGCAAAUGAAAAGGCCCUAACAGACUGCGAUGCAAGUUACGCAAAAUCAAAAGAGGACUUUGGAAUACUUCAGGAAAAGUGCAAACUUGACCUCGACGCAAAAGAUACA